UACGUAGGGUGCAAGCGUUGUCCGGAAUUAUUGGGCGUAAAGAGCUCGUAGGCGGUUUGUCGCGUCUGCCGUGAAAGUCCGGGGCUCAACUCCGGAUCUGCGGUGGGUACGGGCAGACUAGAGUGAUGUAGGGGAGACUGGAAUUCCUGGUGUAGCGGUGAAAUGCGCAGAUAUCAGGAGGAACACCGGUGGCGAAGGCAGGUCUCUGGGCCACUACUGACGCUGAGGCGCGAAAGCGUGGGGAGCAAACAGG
rnacentral:rRNA from 1 species